rnacentral:rRNA from 1 species
UACGGAAGGGGCAAGCGUUGUUCGGAAUCAUUGGGCGUAAAGGGCGCGUAGGUGGUCUUGUGUGUCUACCGUGAAAUCACGCGGCUUAACCGCGUUCCGUCGGUAGAAACUGCAGGACUAGAGGCUGGGAGGGGCUGGUGGAAUUCCCUGUGUAGCGGUGAAAUGCGUAGAGAUGGGGGAGAACACUCGUGGCGAAGGCGGCCAGCUGGACCAGUUCUGACACUGAGGCGCGAUAGCGUGGGGAGCAAACAGG